AUACAUUUUAAAGUAAGAGCCAACAGACAGCUCUCUCUUAGAGGUAUCUAAAGUUAAAUGAGAUUUAGUUCUCUUUACCAAUAAACACUUCAGCUAAGAACAUAGACUACACUUGUAACAAUCUCACCUGCGUAAAGCAAGCAAUUUUGCUGUUCCUACUCAAAGGUCACACGUUCUGUACCAAUUUCACAGCAGUCUCCACGCCUUACCUUGACUCGUGGCCAUCUCAGCAGGCUUUGUCUUGUUUUGCACGCUUUCCGUUGAGCUCAGGGAAGAUUGCACGCGGUAAAAAGGCUUUCAUUAUGUAGUCACAAGGUCUGAGCACAUGACGCAGUCACUGCAUAACAAACAGCUGCCCUACAGCAAGAAGCAGCAUCAGAAGAACAAGUCCAUGAAGGCUCUGUUUCUAGAGAGCCCUUUCAGCAGCACUCAUUCCUGUAGAUCUACAUAGGGUACAGUUAAGGCAAAGAAGAUCUUCCAUUUCCUCAGUGCUGUAACUGCAAGUAACUGCCAAAGGAUACCACUACAGCCAUUGUUGUUGCAUGCUCCAUCCUUUUCAGUGCUUGCCAUCCAUCCAGGGAGAAAUGAGAAGAAACAAGAUAAGGACUGUUGGCAUCUAGAGGAGAAGUCUGCAUGCUCUCUGCAUAUCAGCAUGAAAAGAUUCUGAAGUUGGUUGGGUCUGUUUGAAAUAAAAU